CUCUUCCAUAGCUCAGUUUUUCCAAACUUACUGUUUUCCUGCACCCUGGCCACGAAGCCUGUGAGAGGUAUCUGUGGAGUCAACUGAGGCAUAGGGGGAGGGGGUGGAGCAAUAGAAACUGGUAGCAACAACACAGUAUGGGGGAAGUAAAACAGAUAAAGGAAAGAAAAGGAAACAAACAAAAAGCAGAAGUCAGUUACAAGGACCACAAACAUAAGUAUGCAAAGAACAGUUUGCAAAUGAAACAAAACAAAACAAAAAACAAAACAAAAACCUGCAGAACCUUGGAGUACAUUUCCCACAAGCAAACCUAAAGGCCAAGUUGUGCUUAGCCAAUUAAUUAAUUUUAUAAAAGAACAAAUAUACUUAAUUCAAUCCUAAUGUUACAUUGUUUGGGGAGGAUUUAAAUUUACCAUCACAUUCACUUUAGUAAAAUAAAAUUUUCAAAUUCUAAGGAAAGACUUCUAAAAUAGGUAACAAUGAAAUACCUACAUAGGUUUCCAGAAUAUUGUGUCUUUGCCAUAGCUAUAACAGGUUUGUCUAGCUUUAAGGUAAUGUUGUAAAUUAGGACCCAAAUAAAUAAAACAAAUAUAUAAUAGCUAUUUAUUUCAUAUAUCAAUAAAAAUAUUAAUCACAGGUUUCCUUUAAAGACAGUUCUUAUUAUAUAUCUAAAUUCACACACAGCUCUCCAGGAAAAACUCUUGUUUGUAAAACAAGGUUGUUAUUUUUUUAAGUUGGCAAUUUUAUGUUUAAAAAUAUCAGUCCUAAAUUUACAAGGGAAUAUAUCAUGUUAAUCAGUCAGAGUUUCAUGGGAUAUCUCAAAAGUGACCUUUUCAUCACUGUUCUGAAAAAGGAAACCUGAUCUCCAAUAAGUUAAAAUACGUAGUUCUUUGCAUUAAAGUAAUUUUUAACAACUCAUUGGAU
rnacentral:lncRNA from 1 species